CUUAAACUGAACUUUUUCCUUUAAUUAGGAUUAGGAUUUUAAACCCUAAACUGAAAUCUUCCAUUUAGUCAGCAUUAGGGUGUCAAACCUUAAACUGAACUUUUUCCUUUAAUCAGAAUUAGGGUUUUAAACCCUAAACUAAACUCUUUCCUUUAGUCAGCAUUAAGGUUUUAAACCCUAAACUGAACUUUUCCUUUAGUCAGCAUUAGGGUUUUAAACCCUAAACUGAACUUUUUCCUUUAGUCAGUAUUAUGGUUUUAAACCCUAAACUGAACUCUUUCUUUUAUUCAGCAUUAGGGUUUUAAACCCUAAACUGAACUUUUCCUUUAGUCAGCAUUAGGGUUUUAAAACCCUAAACUAAACUUUUCCCUUCAGCAUUAGGGUUUUAAACCCUAAACUGAACUCUUUUCCUUCAGUCAGCAUUAGGGUUUUAAAUCCUAAACUGAACUUUUUCCUUUAGUCAUCAUUAGGGUUUUAAACCCUAAACUGAACUCUUUUCCUUUAGUCAGCAUUAGGGUUUUAAACCCUAAACUGAACUUUUUCCUUCAGUCAGCGUUAGGGUUUUAAACCAUAAACUGAACUCUUU
rnacentral:lncRNA from 1 species